GACGAACGCUGGCGGCGUGCCUAAUACAUGCAAGUUGAGCGAUGAAGCUUGGUGCUUGCACCAAUUUGAAGAGCAGCGCACGGGUGAGUAACGCGUGGGGAAUCUGCCUUUGAGCGGGGGACAACAUUUGGAAACGAAUGCUAAUACCGCAUAACAACUUUAAACAUAAGUUUUAAGUUUGAAAGAUGCAAUUGCAUCACUCAAAGAUGAUCCCGCGUUGUAUUAGCUAGUUGGUGAGGUAAAGGCUCACCAAGGCGAUGAUACAUAGCCGACCUGAGAGGGUGAUCGGCCACAUUGGGACGGAGACACGGCCCAAACUCCUACGGGAGGCAGCAGUAGAGAAUCUUCGGCAAUGGACGAAAGUCUGACCGAGCAACGCCGCGUGAGUGAAGAAGGUUUUCGGAUCGUAAAACUCUGUUGGUAGAGAAGAACGUUGGUGAGAGUGGAAAGCUCAUCAAGUGACGGUAACUACCCAGAAAGGGACGGCUAACUACGUG
rnacentral:rRNA from 1 species